UACGAAGGGGGCUAGCGUUGCUCGGAUUUACUGGGCGUAAAGGGCGCGUAGGCGGACAGUUAAGUUGGGGGUGAAAGCCCGGGGCUCAACCUCGGAAUUGCCUUCAAUACUGGCUGUCUUGAGUGUGAGGGAGGUGUGUGGAACUCCGAGUGUAGAGGUGAAAUUCGUAGAUAUUCGGAAGAACACCAGUGGCGAAGGCGACACACUGGCUCACUACUGACGCUGAGGCGCGAAAGCGUGGGGAGCAAACAGG
rnacentral:rRNA from 1 species